CUUCCGUAGGGUGAACCUGCGGAAGGAUCAUUACCUAGAGUUUGUGGGCUUUGCCUGCUAUCUCUUACCCAUGUCUUUUGAGUACUUACGUUUCCUCGGUGGGUUCGCCCGCCGAUUGGACAAUUUAAACCCUUUGCAGUUGCAAUCAGCGUCUGAAAAAAAUUAAUAAUUACAACUUUCAACAACGGAUCUCUUGGUUCUGGCAUCGAUGAAGAACGCAGCGAAAUGCGAUAAGUAGUGUGAAUUGCAGAAUUCAGUGAAUCAUCGAAUCUUUGAACGCACAUUGCGCCCCUUGGUAUUCCAUGGGGCAUGCCUGUUCGAGCGUCAUUUGUACCUUCAAGCUUUGCUUGGUGUUGGGUGUUUGUCUCGCCUUUGCGUGUAGACUCGCCUCAAAACAAUUGGCAGCCGGCGUAUUGAUUUCGGAGCGCAGUACAUCUCGCGCUUUGCACUCAUAACGACGACGUCCAAAAGUACAUUUUUACACUCUUGACCUCGGAUCAGGUAGGGAUACCCGCUGAACUUAAGCAUAUCAAUAAGNCGGA
rnacentral:rRNA from 1 species